GACGAACGCUGGCGGCGUGCUUAACACAUGCAAGUCGAACGGAAAGGCCCUGCUUUUGUGGGGUGCUCGAUUGGCGAACGGGUGAGUAACACGUGAGUAACCUGCACUUGACUUUGGGAUAACUUCAGGAAACUGCGGCUAAUACCGCAUAGGAGCUCCUGCUGCGUGGUGGGGGUUGGUAAGUUUCGGCUGUUGGGGCUGGUCUCGCGGGUUACGAGCUGGUUGGUGGGGUAGUGGAUGACAAAGGCUUUGAAGGGUAGCCUGCCUUGGAGGGUUACCGGCGACCUUGGGACUGAGAUAGGGCGCAGAAGGCAACGGGAGGCAGUAGUGGGGAAUAUUGCACAAUGAGCGGAAGCCUGAUGCAGCAACGCCGCGUGCGUGAUGACGUCCUUCGGGUUGUAAACCGCUUUCGCCUGAGACGAAGAGUUAGUGACGGUAACGGGUAAAGAAGCACCGGCUAACUACGUG
rnacentral:rRNA from 1 species